CCCCUAGACGUUCUGGGCUGCACGCGCGCUACAAUAAUACGCACAGCGAGUAUCACCGAGCUCGAAAGGGCAAGGUAAACAAUAGAAAAGGUACUGUAAUGGUUAUAGAUCCUUGUAAUUAUUGAUCUUCAACGAGGAAUUCCUAGUAAGUAUGUGUCAUCAUCACGCACUGAUUACGUCCCUGCCCUUUGUACACACCGCCCGUCGCUACUACCGAUUGAAUGGUUUAGUGAGGCCUUCGGAUCCGCGACUCGUUUUGUGGAGAAGUUGGACAAACUCAGUCAUUUAGAGGAAGUAAAAGUCGUAACA
rnacentral:rRNA from 1 species